UGUUCAGCCACAUGUGGGCACGGGGGCAGUGAAGGUGACUCCAGCUCACAGUCCUGCCGAUGCUGAGAUGGGGGCCCGACAUGGCUUGAGCCCCUUGAAUGUCAUUGCGGAGGAUGGGACCAUGACCUCCCUCUGCGGGGACUGGCUGCAGGGUCUUCACCGGUUUGUGGCCCGGGAAAAGAUAAUGUCUGUGCUGAGUGAAUGGGGCCUGUUCCGGGGCCUCCAGAACCACCCCAUGGUACUGCCCAUCUGCAGCCGUUCUGGGGAUGUGAUAGAAUACCUGCUGAAGAACCAGUGGUUUGUCCGCUGCCAGGAAAUGGGGGCCCGAGCUGCCAAGGCUGUGGAGUCGGGGGCCCUGGAGCUCAGUCCCUCCUUCCACCAGAAGAACUGGCAGCACUGGUUUUCCCAUAUUGGGGACUGGUGUGUCUCCCGGCAGCUGUGGUGGGGCCAUCAGAUUCCAGCCUACCUGGUUGUAGAGGACCAUGCGCAGGGAGAAGAGGACUGUUGGGUGGUUGGGCGGUCAGAGGCUGAGGCCAGAGAGGUAGCAGCGGAACUGACAGGGAGGCCAGGGGCAGAGCUGACCCUGGAGAGGGACCCCAGACCUUGCUCGUUUCUACCCCCUGUCACUUUUGGAAACGGGCAGCGACCUUCUGCUGUUCUGGGUGGGCCGCAUGGUCAUGUUGGGGACCCAGCUCACAGGGCAGCUGCCCUUCAGCAAGGUGCUUCUUCAUCCCAUGGUUCGGGACAGGCAGGGCCGGAAGAUGAGCAAGUCCCUGGGGAAUGUGCUGGACCCAAGAGACAUCAUCAGUGGGGUGGAGAUGCAGGUGCUGCAGGAAAAGCUGAGAAGCGGAAAUUUGGACCCUGCAGAGCUGGCCAUUGUGGCUGCAGCACAGAAAAAGGACUUUCCUCACGGGAUCCCUGAGUGUGGGACAGAUGCCCUGAGAUUCACACUCUGCUCCCAUGGAGUUCAGGCGGGCGACUUGCACCUGUCAGUCUCUGAGGUCCAGAGCUGCCGACAUUUCUGCAACAAGAUCUGGAAUGCUCUUCGCUUUAUCCUCAAUGCUUUAGGGGAGAAAUUUGUGCCACAGCCUGCUGAGGAGCUGUCUCCCUCCUCCCCGAUGGAUGCCUGGAUCCUGAGCCGCCUUGCCCUGGCUGCCCAGGAGUGUGAGCGGGGCUUCCUCACCCGAGAGCUCUCGCUCGUCACUCAUGCCCUGCACCACUUCUGGCUUCACAACCUCUGUGACGUCUACCUGGAGGCUGUGAAGCCCGUGCUGUGGCACUCGCCCCGCCCCCUGGGGCCCCCUCAGGUCCUGUUCUCCUGCGCUGACCUCGGCCUCCGCCUCCUGGCCCCACUGAUGCCCUUCCUGGCUGAAGAGCUCUGGCAGAGGCUGCCCCCCAGGCCUGGUUGCCCCCCUGCCCCCAGCAUCUCGGUUGCCCCCUACCCCAGCGCCUGCAGCUUGGAGCACUGGCGCCAGCCAGAGCUGGAGCGGCGCUUCUCCCGGGUCCAAGAGGUCGUGCAGGUGCUAAGGGCUCUCCGAGCCACGUACCAGCUCACCAAAGCCCGGCCCCGAGUGCUGCUGCAGAGCUCAGAGCCUGGGGACCAGGGCCUCUUCGAGGCCUUCUUGGAGCCCCUGGGCACCCUGGGCUACUGUGGGGCUGUGGGCCUGUUACCCCCAGGCGCAGCAGCUCCCUCCGGCUGGGCCCAGGCUCCACUCAGUGACACGGCUCAAGUCUACAUGGAGCUGCAGGGCCUGGUGGACCCGCAGAUCCAGCUACCUCUGUUAGCCGCCCGAAGGUACAAGUUGCAGAAGCAGCUUGAUAGCCUCACAGCCAGGACCCCAUCAGAAGGGGAGGCAGGGACUCAGAGGCAACAAAAGCUUUCUUCCCUCCAGCUGGAAUUGUCAAAACUGGACAAGGCAGCCUCUCACCUCCAGCAGCUGAUGGAUGAGCCUCCAGCCCCAGGGAGCCCGGAGCUCUAACUCAUCAUCCCCAUCAGUUUUCCUCCCUCUCAGACCUGUCUUUGAGGACAAACAGAUUUGUCAGCUGUCAGGGUGCAGUGGGACGUCAGAGACUAUGUGGUCCAUCGCCUUCAUUGUGUAAAUGAGGACACAGACUGGCUUGGUCGCAGUGACUGUGGUGUCCUUGAGAUGCUCACAUUACUGCCCGGCCUGCCUCCCACCUGGAAGUCUGGGAAUGAGGAGAUUGAGAUAAACUUUUGAAAUCCCAAA
rnacentral:misc_RNA from 1 species